UACAGCUAAUGUGUAUCAUCGAGACCUGAAGCCAAAGAAUAUACUGGCCAAUGCAAACUGUAAACUUAAAAUCUGUGAUUUUGGGUUAGCUAGAGUUGCUUUCAAUGACACUCCAACAACUGUAUUUUGGACGGAUUAUGUUGCUACAAGGUGGUAUAGAGCACCAGAGCUCUGUGGAUCAUUUUACUCAAAGAGAACGCAAUUGGAGAAAAUUGCAGGAAAUCCUACAUAGCAUGAUCAGGUUUUGUAUAAAUUUUAUCUAUAGUAUAAACUUUGUCAGUUCAUCAAUAUUCAUUGAUGAUUUAUUUCAUAGGCAAAACAUUCAGCAUAAUCAUUGUCCAGAACCACCAACAUGCAAAAACUACAUUUUAGAACUUCACUCACAUCACUUCAAACAAAACAUACAAUUAGUCGUUAAAAUUUGAUUGUACUGCAAAUUGGAAUUACAGUGAGAGUAGAGCUUUGAUUCAUGUUUAAUUAAGCUACUGUUAUCACACUGUGUUUAAUUUUAAAGCUAAUCAAUGAUUUCUAAGAGGAAAUACACAAUCACUUUCUAGUAGUUUGAUGAGAUUUGUUUGAGAGGUGAAGAUAUGGUGUUAGGUGACCCAUUGCAAACCAUGGAAACAUUGCUAUAUGUAAAGAAGAAGGUGUAUCCAUGGUUGCUUUGUCUUAAAUUAACUUAUUUGCAGUAUUUAUAUGCUUAUGAGUCAGUUCAGUUCAGGUUCACAAUAGUUAAAUGAUAUAUGUAUAUUUUAUGUGUAGUUUAAAUAAUUAGAGAUAAAUGAUUAAUGUUAUAAAAAAGGAAAGAAAAAACUCCAAGAGUAUCUUAUAUAUAGAAAAAGAUAUAAUAUAUGAAAUGGUAAAUGGAUAUUAUUGUUCCAAUGGGAGAUACAGCAAAUCCAAUUUGUGUUAUUUUAUGCUACUUUACGCCCUUAUUUAUAUGUAUUAACAAAGCUUUAGUUCUUUGCUCUGGUUUUAUCAAAAGAUAAUACAAAUGUAAGAUUUUGUAAAGUAUCAUUGUGGCUGUCUGUUAACAAACUUGUUAUAAGACUAAGAUUUUUUUGAGGUC